GAUGAACGCUGGCUACAGGCUUAACACAUGCAAGUCGAGGGGAAACGACGGGGAAGCUUGCUUCCCCGGGCGUCGACCGGCGCACGGGAGAGUAACGCGUAUCCAACCUGCCUCUGACUGAGGGAUAACCCGUCGAAAGUCGGCCUAAUACCUCAUGGUAUCGUCUGCGGGCAUCCAACGACGAUUAAAGAUUUCAUCGGUCAGGGAUGGGGAUGCGUCUGAUUAGCUUGUUGGCGGGGUAACGGCCCACCAAGGCUACGAUCAGUAGGGGUUCUGAGAGGAAGGGCCCCCACAUUGGAACUGGGACACGGGCCAAACUCCUACGGGAGGCAGCAGUGAGGAAUUUUGGUCAAUGGGCGAGAGCCUGAACCAGCCAAGUAGCGUGCAGGAAGACGGCCCUAUGGGUUGUAAACUGCUUUUAUGCGGGGAUAAAGUGAGGGACGUGUCCCUCAUUGCAGGUACCGCAUGAAUAAGGACCGGCUAAGUCCGUG
rnacentral:rRNA from 1 species